AACAGCGGCAAACAGGCUUCCCAGCUGACCUCCUCUCCUCUGUUCUCCCUACCUAACAGACUGGCAGGUUGCAGAAGAUGCACCCAGAGAGUGUUUUGACUGUUCCAGUUUUAAUAAAAGGCUGGAGGAAACACAUACAAUGGAAACCUAUGUGCUUUUUGGUGAGAUAAAGCAUGAUUUUGGGGGAGAGAAGAGGACAGAAUCUGCUGAAACAUAAGGGGAAAGAAGAAUGACCAGCCCAGAGAAUGCAGAGAGAGAUGGAGGCCAGAAUUCAUGAGGGUUCGUUGGAAAUGAAGACCAGAAAAGUGUGGACCUGAACAACCCCCAGCUGAUGGUGGACAGGCUGCCUAGCAGAGAAGGAGCAGCUCAACACCAAGUUCCCAGAAAAGACUUCCAGGGAGCAGGCCCCGAGUUGUGGGUGUGCACUGUGAGAUUCAGUGGGGACAUUCUGGAACAUAAGUGAAAUAGCAGUAGCUAUGGUGAUAACACUGACAACCAGUUCUCUCUGGCUCAAGUCUGGAGCAGCAUACAGGAAGGAAGCAGCCUCCACAAAUCAUGUGGACUCUCGUGAAGCCCCCAUGAGAGCCAGCAUUCUGUGUCAGGGCUUCUUGGUGCCACUCACCAACUGACUGGUGGACUCUCGAGGGCACAAAUCCCAGCUGCCAGAUCUCAGCUCAGCUAUCACCUCCGUGGAGAAAUGUUCCUUGACCACAACAGCUGAAACAACAAUCAUGACCCCCCCAACCCCUUUACACUCUGCCUCUGUGAGGGACUGAACUGUGUCCUGCAAAAUCUGUAUGUUAAAGUCCUAACUCCCAGCACCCCAGAACGUGACUGUAAUUGGAGAUAAAGUAUUUAAAGGUAAUUACAUUAAAAUCAGGUCAUUAGA